AACUCACGCAGGGCAAGAGCUGAU
rnacentral:piRNA from 1 species